CCAGAGGCAUGGCCCAUCUUCUCAGAGACAAACAGUUUAAACGGCAACUCAUAGUUAGGGAGGCCCAAAGCAGGGGCAGAAGAGAUUGCCCUUUGUGUAGCAACUGCAGGCUGUUGAGGACAAUGUGAAGGGUUCAGUCUUCAAGCCGUCGUAGAGGGGUUGCAUGAGUUGAGAGGCCUCAGGGAUCCAAGAUCUGCAGUACGUGAUGAGACCCAGGAAGGUGUGGAGGGCCUGGUGAGUAGAUGGAAGGGGAAGAUUGGUGAUAGCACAAACUCUGUCUCUUGUCAGGUGACGGGUGCCAUGGGAAAAGACAAUGUCCCAAGAAGACCACUGUGGGCCGGCACCAUUGGAGUUUAGCUUUGGAGGCUUUGCAACCCUCUUCUGCAAGGAACCCGAGAAGAUCCACUGAAUGGUGUUCAGUUGUUGGAAAGUCAUCUGCACAGAGCAGUAAAUCAUCAACAUACUGGAGCAGGACCACAUCUGGGUGAGAUUUCUGCCAGGGUUCUAGUACAGUAGACAUUGCCUUGGCAAAUUGUGUUGGAGAAUU